rnacentral:pre_miRNA from 1 species
UCUUAUAGAUGAGCAAAAAAAGAGGACUCUUGAAAUGGAAUCUUCUCCUGGUGAAGAUGCUGUGAA